rnacentral:tRNA from 1 species
AAGAUAUUAGUAAUAAAUAUUACAUAACUUUGCCAUAGUUAAAUUACAGGUUUAAUCCCUGUAUAUCUUA